rnacentral:lncRNA from 1 species
AGAUAUGCAUUCUAAAGAAAGCAAGAGGAUUCAACCAGAAGUUCUGGGAGUCAAGAGUACUUUCAAAGGCACAGCCAGAGAAGAUGCCUCUCUUUGUCAAAGUGAUGAAGUGACCAGUGGAUGUUUUUCAAGCAGUGGCAGAUUGUUGGAUCCUGACUGCUUGUCACAGAGAACACAGAUGUUCAGUUCUGAGGAUGCAGAGAAGGAGUAA